rnacentral:rRNA from 1 species
CAGUAGCCGCGGGAAUACGGAGGGGGCUAGCGUUGUUCGGAAUUACUGGGCGUAAAGCGUGCGUAGGCGGUUUGUUAAGUCUGCUGUGAAAUCCCCGGGCUCAACCUGGGAAUGGCAGUGGAUACUGGCAAGCUAGAGUGUGUCAGAGGAUGGUGGAAUUCCCGGUGUAGCGGUGAAAUGCGUAGAGAUCGGGAGGAACAUCAGUGGCGAAGGCGGCCAUCUGGGACAACACUGACGCUGAGGCACGAAAGCGUGGGGAGCAAACAGGAUUAGAUACCCGAGUAGUCCCUGUCUCUUAUAC